GCUGGCAGCCACACCACCUUCAGUUCAGCUCUCCCAGGCUGCACAUGGCUGGGUGUGGGCUCUGUUCUUAUGGGAGACCUCCAGAGAGACCCUGGAAAUGCCAGCG
ensembl:rRNA 5S_rRNA 5S ribosomal RNA